rnacentral:lncRNA from 1 species
CGACUGUUAAGGUAAGGCUGAGGGGGUCUGGGAAUAACAUUUGUCUGUGCUGGAUAAAAGGCAAGGCUACCAUUGCUAACAGAAACAGCUCCAUCAGGUUGAUAAUUCACUGAAGAUAGAGAUUCUUGUGAAAGAGAGGACUGUUCUGCGACAUGAGAAGAUUGCAGCUGGCUCUGAGGAGGAGUCUGCGUACUUGCUGUAGAGAAACUCUGGUUAUACCCCGCUG